AGCGAACGCUGGCGGCAGGCCUAACACAUGCAAGUCGAACGAACUCUUCGGAGUUAGUGGCGGACGGGUGAGUAACACGUGGGAACGUGCCUUUUGGUUCGGAAUAACUCAGGGAAACCUGUGCUAAUACCGAAUGUGCCCUUCGGGGGAAAGAUUUAUCGCCAUUAGAGCGGCCCGCGUCUGAUUAGCUAGUUGGUGAGGUAACGGCUCUCCAAGGCGACGAUCAGUAGCUGGUCUGAGAGGAUGACCAGCCACACUGGGACUGAGACACGGCCCAGACUCCUACGGGAGGCAGCAGUGGGGAAUCUUGCGCAAUGGGCGAAAGCCUGACGCAGCCAUGCCGCGUGAAUGAUGAAGGUCUUAGGAUUGUAAAAUUCUUUCACCGGGGACGAUAAUGACGGUACCCGGAGAAGAAGCCCCGGCUAACUUCGUG
rnacentral:rRNA from 1 species